rnacentral:lncRNA from 1 species
UGCAUGCUAACAAUUUCAACAACAUGAUUCUGUAGGGUACUGGCAAAUAAAACUUGAUUGCUUGUGUUGGCCAUCUUCUAUGAUUUGGCUAUAUACUUGGCUUUCCUGAAUCAGGAAUAUUGGUCGAUGCAAUAUGUUGUUGUUUCUUGAGCUGCAUGGAGCACAUUUUGGUGCCAUCCAUUUGGUCCUAUUUACUGAUUUUAUUGUGAUAUAAGAAAAGAAUAUAGUUGUUAUCUUUGGAAGAUAACUUAACAAAUUGAUAUGGAAAUCCGGAUGUUUCCAUAUAAUCAAAAGUUGCAAUGUUGGAAAGAGUUAUAGGACGACAAUUGCAGGCUGGAGGAAAAGAUGGACUAAAACCACAGUGGAAUGUUAGUAAUUUAAUUAAUAUGUGGUCUUGCUGCUUAUGGAAGAGCAUGACCAAAAAAGGGUAGAAUAGAAGUAAAGGGCUGAUGUACAA